AUGUAACUCUCACGGCAACCACAAGUUAACUGGUUACUGGUCUCUAUUACUGGAAAAUCAUCUUCGGUUUUAAUUGAAGUUUCAGUUUUUUCUGACACAAAUACAUAAUCUAUGCUGUGGUGCUCCUCAUAAUGACUCAGAAAUGCUUCUUCCACAUUAAAGAUAAGAUCACAAAGCCCACAGAAGUAUUUAAUCUUUAUCUCAUUGUCAUGCUCAUCUUGGCAAUGUCGGUACAAUGUUUCUAUCUUAUGAAAAGGCUUUCUGCAGUGAGCACAGCUGUAUCUAUGAAACUUGUGGCUUGCCAAAGACAUGCAGUGCUGUUUUACAUAUUCCUGGGAAUCAAACAUAUCUUCACAAAUCCGGCAUUGCCAUUUACCCCUCGGAGAACUAUUUGCCGGGGAAUGAUCAAUAACAGUAAUAGCUGAUGAAGGCUUGUUAGC
rnacentral:lncRNA from 1 species